rnacentral:rRNA from 1 species
CCCUUAGAUGUUCUGGGCCGCACGCGCGCUACACUGAUGAAUUCAACGAGCACUAACCUGUGCCGAAAGGUUCGGGUAAUCUUGUGAAAUUUCAUCGUGAUGGGGAUUGAUUAUUGCAAUUUUUAAUCAUAAACGAGGAAUGCCUAGUAAGCGUGAGUCAUCAGCUCACGUUGAUUACGUCCCUGCCCUUUGUACACACCGCCCGUCGCUCCUACCGAUUGAAUGUGCCAGUGAAAAGUUCGGAUUGGAGAUAGGAGACGGCAACGUAUCCUAUUUCCGAGAAAAUCUUUAAACUUUCCCAUUUAGAGGAAGGAGAANUCGUAACA